rnacentral:misc_RNA from 1 species
ACAAACUUGGUCAUUUAGAGGAAGUAAAAGUCGUAACAAGGUUUCCGUAGGUGAACCUGCGGAAGGAUCAUUACCAAGUUUUUUGGUUAUUAUUUUUUUUAACCAUCAAACACCGAUCCCACCAGUGUGCACUCAUUGGAGCCAAUGAAUGGCUCCCAACCUCUUUUCCUUUUAAUCAUUUGUCUGAUUUUUGAAUCAAAUAAUUUAUACAACUUUCAACAACGGAUCUCUUGGCUCUCGCAUCGAUGAAGAACGCAGC